AACGAACGCUGGCGGCAGGCUUAACACAUGCAAGUCGAGCGCCCCGCAAGGGGAGCGGCAGACGGGUGAGUAACGCGUGGGAAUCUACCCAUCCCUACGGAAUAGCUCCGGGAAACUGGAAUUAAUACCGUAUACGCCCUACGGGGGAAAGAUUUAUCGGGGAUGGAUGAGCCCGCGUUGGAUUAGCUAGUUGGUGGGGUAAAGGCCUACCAAGGCGACGAUCCAUAGCUGGUCUGAGAGGAUGAUCAGCCACAUUGGGACUGAGACACGGCCCAAACUCCUACGGGAGGCAGCAGUGGGGAAUAUUGGACAAUGGGCGCAAGCCUGAUCUAGCCAUGCCGCGUGAGCGAUGAAGGCCUUAGGGUUGUAAAGCUCUUUCGCUGGGGAAGAUAAUGACUGCACCCAGUAAAGAAGCCCCGGCUAACUCCGUGCCAGCCGCCGCGGUAAAAC
rnacentral:rRNA from 1 species